rnacentral:rRNA from 1 species
UACGUAGGGGGCAAGCGUUGUCCGGAUUUAUUGGGCGUAAAGAGCGUGUAGGCGGUUUGGUAGGUCCGUUGUGAAAACUCGAGGCUCAACCUCGAGACGCCGGCGGAAACCAUCAGGCUAGAGUCCGGAAGAGGAGAGUGGAAUUCCCAGUGUAGAGGUGAAAUUCGUAGAUAUUGGGAAGAACACCGGUGGCGAAGGCGGCGACCUGGUCCUUGACUGACGCUGAGGCGCGAAAGCGUUGGGGAGCAAACAGG